AAUAGUGGAAUAUCUCAUUGGCAAUCGGAAGUGGAGCUUUGUAUUGUCUUGGUUCGUAGUUGUCGGCUUUGUGGUGUUGGAAGUGGGUAUAAACUGAGCCUGGGUUAUCUUUGAUGAUCAAUACCAUCACCUUACAGUAGGUUAUUCCAUUGCCACCAGAAAAGAAGCUACCAUCCCAAGACCUAUGAAUGGUCCAGCCUGCACCAGUCAAUGUGCCAACAAAGAUAGGUAUUUCUACGAUUAUUAGCUAGUUCUUAAUUCUGUUUUUUUAUUAACAUCAUAUUUUUGUAACAUUGCUGAAGGAAGAAGCAAAGGUUUGAAGUAUGUCAAUGCUAAAGAUUAAAAUAUAACAAACAUUAAUAGGUUAUGUUCUCUCUACAUGUUAGGAAUUAAGAAAUUUUCAGAGGCCAGUCUAUAUCAAAGUUGGUAUAUAUAUAUAACGGACCCUCUUGCUUUCUUUCAUCCAUAUUAGUUAAGUAGCAGUAUACCAAGUAUCAAAAAGGAAUCUCUAAAUCAUUAGAAGUUAGUAUUUUAAUAUAAAUUAUUGAAUUAAACAUAAUGUUAUUGCCUCAGCCAUGACCUCGAACUUCCCAGACCAGAGGGAAUUGUAUUAAGUCCAGGAAUACAAAAAAGGUACUCGGAGGCCUCCUGAGUUUGUUUAGAACUUUCUUAUCUGCCUUCCACUUCUGGGUCUACCUUGUAUCUACUUUGGUGAAUGUCUUUCUCUUCCCAGCUUCCAUGAAAUUGAAAAGAUAAUCACAAUACAUUACUUUGACAUCUCAAAGGAAGUGAAGCAAAGAGUGAGAAAGUUGAGUUUGUACAGCUAUUUUCUUCUUCUUAGUUAUUAGAAAGAAAAAUACAGAUGUUGUCAAUGUUCGUUAGAUGUCAUCUAACUACUAAUUUCUCAGUGUAUAAUUUUUUGAAACAUGACUACAUUACAUGGUUCUUAUGAAAAAUCAAAAUGAAAUGUCACUCACUUCAUUUUCUAUCGACUACAGAUUGGAAAGUCACUCUUCCAUAUAUUGAAUGUUUCAUUGACAUGUACGCGUAUCCUUAAUGAUCUAAGUUGCCAGCAUUCUGAUCUUGGUUGCUUACAAUAGGAGCUUCAUAUUCCAAUACAUUUUUGUGAAUUAAGCUAUGGAAGAACAUACAUUACAGGGAUACAAAAGGCUGGAUCCAUCCCGUGACUAAGGAGAAAUAUGUAAUGAAACUAGUCUUAUCAAAAUUUUGGAACUUGGCUAGGCUUUUUAUUUUGGAUUCCAUUAUGGUUUAGACUGUGUUUUUAUAGUUGGUAUUGGAAUUGACUUGUAAAGAUGCUAUAUAUUAUUUUGCCUUGUAAAUAUUUUGCUAGAGGCUUUUGGUUGUGA
rnacentral:lncRNA from 1 species